UACUCCUACGGGAGGCAGCAGGGGGGAAUAUUGCACAAUGGGCGAAAGCCUGAUGCAGCAACGCCGCGUGCGGGAUGACGGCCUUCGGGUUGUAAACCGCUUUCAGCAGGGACGAAGGUUUUCUGACGGUACCUGCAGAAGAAGCACCGGCUAACUACGUGCCAGCAGCCGCGGUAA
rnacentral:rRNA from 1 species